rnacentral:rRNA from 1 species
AUUGAACGCUGGCGGCAGGCCUAACACAUGCAAGUCGAACGAGUGGCGGACGGGUGAGUAAUGUCUGGGAAACUGCCUGAUGGAGGGGGAUAACUACUGGAAACGGUAGCUAAUACCGCAUACCAUCAGAUGUGCCCAGAUGGGAUUAGCUAGUUGGUGGGGUAACGGCUCACCAAGGCGACGAUCCCUAGCUGGUCUGAGAGGAUGACGAGCAACACUGGAACUGAGACACGGUCCAGACUCCUACGGGAGGCAGAAGUGGGGAAUAUUGCACAAGGAGCGUAAGCCGGAUGCAGCCAUGCAGCGUGUAGGAAGAAGGCCUUCGGGUUGUAAAGGACUUUCAGCGGGGAGGUGUUACCCGCAGAAGAAGCACCGGCGAACUACGUGCCAGCAGCCGCGGUAAUUC